rnacentral:rRNA from 1 species
AUAGCCUACGGGGGGCAGCAGUGAGGAAUAUUGGUCAAUGGGCGAGAGCCUGAACCAGCCAAGUCGCGUGAAGAAUGACGGCCCUACGGGUUGUAAACUUCUUUUGUCAGGGAACAAUUGGGUCCACGCGUGGGCCUAGCGAGAGUACCUGAAGAAAAAGCAUCGACUAACUCCGUGCCAGCAGGCGCGGAAAGACGGAGGAUGCGAGCGUUAUACGGAUUUAUUGGGUUUAAAGGGUGCGUAGGCGGAAUAUCAAGUCGG